rnacentral:rRNA from 1 species
AACGUAGGACACAAGCGUUAUCCGGAGUUACUGGGCGUAAAGAGCGCGUAGGCGGUCUGAUAAGUUCGCUAUGAAAGCACCUGGCUAAACUGGGUGAGGCUGGCGAAUACUGUCAGGCUAGAGUGAGACAGAGGCAGAUGGAAUUCCGCGUGUAGUGGUGAAAUGCGUAGAGAUGCGGAGGAACACCAGUGGCGAAGGCGGUCUGCUGGGGUCUCAACUGACGCUGAGGCGCGAAAGCGUGGGUAGCAAACAGG